rnacentral:lncRNA from 1 species
AAACAUUUAUAUUUUCACAAAUAUUUCAGUUUAAUAAAAUUCAUAUAAAAUAACAUACCAUAGCAUUCAUGAAAUUUCAAAGUAUAAUACAACAUUUCCUGCCAACCACAAUCUCAAACAAUGAAUUUACUCAAUUGAGCUGAAUAUCAAAUAUCAACUUAUAUUCCAACAUUUAGCUUCAAUUGCACUUACAAAUACUUGUCAAAUUAAGGAUCGUCUUGCGGAUUUGAGUACAUCGUUUGCCCGGGUGCCACGAUUUGCUUGAAUAUUUUACAAUGCUAUAACUCAAUAUGGUUUCCUUCACUGAAAUACCAUACCUACUUUUCACAACUCAGUAUGAUUUUCUUCACUGAAACACCAUACCUACAUUUCACAAUUUUCCAUGGAUUCACCAUGGGCUUAUUCGUUAAUUCAUCAUUGAUUACAGAACGUAUGUACUCAAUCCUGCGUAUCCCUUAAUUUAAACUAACAAUAUCAUUUUUUUUCUCAUUUUUACCAUAAUCAUAAUUCGAAAACAAUAUACAAAUUGAUACAAUAUAUCAUUCCCACAUUAACAAUUAAUCAUAAAAAUUCAGCCGUAUGAACUUACCUGGGCCAAUUUGUAGGAUUUGUAAAAGUUCAAAUACUAUUUUGAUACUUUCUCUUUUCUGCAUUUAUCUUCAGAUUCCCGAUCUAUAAUAUAAAAUUUUCCAUUCAUUAUCAUCUAACUCAAUACUAAUUCACUUCACAGUUUAUGCCCUUCAAUUUUUGAAAUUACACUUUUACCCCAAAACUUACAGUUUUUACAAUCUAGUCCCUACUCAAUUAACACUUGAAUUGAACUAAUUUUUUUCCUCAAAUAACACUUUAUCUAAUAAUUUUAGGCUAUUAUACAACCUUUUAUAUUCAUAAUUUCAUUACAAAACCCCAAUUCCUAGCUUUUUCACAAUUAAGUCCUAAAAAUCAUUUUCUACUAAAAUCACUUAAUAAAAUCAUAAUAUAAUAAAAUUAAAGCUUCAAAUCUAUGAUAAUUCAUCAUAAAUUAAAAUUCCAGUACUCACACAUGGUAACUUUCAAAAUCAUUCAUAGAAUCAAAAACAAAUCAAUUCAAUAGUUGGACUUAAUUGUAAAAGUCACAAACCAUGAAAAAUUACAAAGAAAAAGCAAGAAUUGAACUUACAUGAUGAAAAAUAUGAAAAACCAGCUUUAAAACUCUCUCCUAUGGCAUUUUGGCUGAAGAAAAAUGAUGAUAUCUCUAGAUUUUUCAAUAUUGUCUUUAUUUUAUAUGUUUAAUUUGCAAAAUUUCCAAUUUUUCCCUUAUUUCUCCUUGUUUUCUUGCUGAUUUUCUUGCCCAAACCGUCCAGCCCAUAUACUUUAGGCCUAAUUUCCUUUUAAAUCCCUCCUUAUUAGUCACUUAAACUAUUUAAUCACAAUUUAACAAAUUUUGCACUAUUUUCAAUUUAAUCCUUUUUAAUUAAUUGACUAUCCAAACGUUAAAAUUUUCUAACGAAACUUUUAUACUAACUCAAUGACACUCCAUAAAUGUUUAUAAAAAUAUUUAUGGCUCGACUUAUGAAUUCGAGGUCUCGAUACCUCGUUUUAGACCCAAUUUACCAACUAAAUUCUUUUUAAAUCACAAAAUCCACUAAAUCACAAAAUUCGCCUAAAUUCAAACUUGACCCAAAAUUAUUAAUUUAUUAAAAUUUCAAGCUUACUUGUCGGAUUUAGUGAUCCCAAAUCACUAAUUUCGAUACCAUUAAAAAUUGGGCUGUUACACAGGCCGUGUGUCCCCUGCAACUUAAAAUUUUAAAACGGAAUGCUCAGAAAUUUUCACACGGCCUGGCACACAAGCGUGUGGCUUGGCCGUUUUACUCUUGCACCUAAAUGAAUUGCAAGUUAGAGAGUUACUCUGGCUGGGGACACGGCUGUGUGCUCUAUUUCAAACGCCACACGGCCUGAGACACGGGUGUGUCACUGGGCCGUGUGAGCCACACGGCUUGACCACACAGGCGUGUGCCCCAUGCACAUUGGAAAAUUUUGAAAUUUCAUGAAAAAUUCUCUGAGUUUCCGAUUUAGUCCCAAUUCGAUUCUAAAGUGAAAAUUGAGCCUCGAGGGCUCUCAUAAGGGACUUUAUGAAUAGUAUCUGGCAUGAAUGUUAAAUAAUAAUAUGAAAUGUCUGUAUUUAAUGUGGCAUGUAUAGCUAGGCUCACAUAUGCUACGUUUGGUCCGAGAACCGACUAAACCGUAGCUCUGAUACCACUAAAUGUAACACCCCUUACCCGUAUCCAACACCGGAAUAGGGUACGAGGCAUUACCAAAACACAUACACUUGUAAACGUAUUUAACCGAGUUAUAAAAUUUCAUCAAAAUUAAAACUUUCAAAAAUAAUUAACAUGUUUCUAUAACUUUUCACAAUAUAUGCUUAAAAUAUUAUAAUCAUAAUAAUUAGGGCCUGCGAGACCCGAUACAUACUCAUGCAAUUUAAUGCUUCAUUUCCAUUUCAUUCAAUUCGCAAUUUCUCAUGCUCAUAAUUUAAAUCAUAUCACUAGAAAUUUCCAUUUAAUUCACGUACAAUUCAAUGACAUCAAAUUCAAAACUAAUACGUAUUUACCAUUUAACUCAAUGUUUAUUGAUUAUACCAUUCAAUAACACAUUUAUGAAAUUCUCAAUUUAGCAAUGAAAAUAUCACUUUAGUUUGAAUAACAACAUCGUCCUGAUAUAAAUACACUACCACUUAUCCAUUUACUUUAAUUCUUUUGGGCCCAUUUGUCACUUACCAUCUUUAAUCAAAUUAGGGAACGGUCACGGAAAAUUGAGUACUUCACUUUCACUUUGCCAUAGUAUAACUAUGGUCUUACGUAUGAUCACUUAUCACUUGUCCCUGAUCAGAUAAGUGUAGCCACCUAUCACUUUGUUUCUUGAUCAGAUAAGUGUAGCCACUUAUCACUUUGUUUCUUGAUCAGAUAAGUGUAGCUAAAGCUAUCACUUAUCACUUUGUCUCUUGAUCAGAUAAGUAUAGCCGAAGCUAUCACUUAUCACUUUUCACUUGUCACUUGAUCAGAUAAGUGUAGCCGAAGCUAUCACUUAUCACUUUCCACUUGUCACUUGAUCAGAUAAGUGUAGCUGAAUCUAUCACUUAUCACUUUGUCACUUGAUCAGAUAAGUAUAGCCGAAGCUAUCACUUAUCACUUUAUCACUUGAUCAGAUAAGUAUAGCCGAAGCUAUUACUUAUCACUUUCCACUUGUCACUUGAUCAGAUAAGUGUAGCUAAAGCUACCACUUAUCACUUUAUCACUUGAUCAGAAGUACUCAAAUCCGGCGUUCCGCUCAAUUUGAUCAUUUAUUCAUAUAUCAGGCUUACCAACAUGUGUUAAUUCAUAAACCAUUCAUGGUAUUAUUUCAUGCCAAAUCAUAUACUGAAUAUACCAUACACACAUACUAUGAAACUUUAUUUUCACACAUGAGCUUAAACCAUGACCAAUAAUGCACAAAAAUAAGCAUCAUUCAUAUUUCAUCGUUUAUGAGUUAUAAUCAAACAUAUGACCAUUUAUACACGAAUCAUUCAUAUAUUUCCCAAUUUUCCUCCUCCUCCUCUCCAUUCCACAUCCUUAAUGUGUAUAACACACUUAAACAACAUUAACCAUAAUUUCAAUAUUCACUAACAUGUAUAUUCAAAGCUGUUUAUCCGAGUAAGAGUCACUAAAUUAUUUUUAUCCGGAGCUACAGAGCUCCAAAUUAAGAUCCGUUAAUUUUCCCUGAAACUAGACUCACAUAUCUUCAUACCAUAAAAUUUUCAUAAUUUUUGGUUCAGCCAAAUAGUACAGUUUAUUCUUUAAAGUUUCCCCUGUUUCGCUGUCUGACAGUUCCGACCACUCUUCACUAAAAAUUAAUUAUCUCAUUGUACAGAAUUCGGAUGAUGUUUUAGCUUGUUUCUUCUAAAAAUAGACUCAUUAAGGAUUCUAACCAUAUAAACUAUAACUCAUAAUAAUUUCUGUACAAUUUUUAAUGAUUUUCCAAAGUCAGAACAGGGGAACCCGAAUUUAUUCUGACCUUGUCUCACAAAAUCUAUUAUAUCUCAUGAUUUACAAUUCCAUUGCUCACAUCAUUUCUUUUAUAAGAAACUAGACUCAAUAAGCUUUAAUUUCAUAUUUUAUUCAUCCUCUAAUUAAAUCUCUACAAUUUUUGGUGAUUUUUCAAAGUUACACUACUGCUGCUGUCCAAAACUGCUUUAGUGCAAAAUGUUGAUUUCCAUUUUGCCCCAAAUUUCACAGUUUAUACAAUUCGGUCCUUUCUCAAUUAACCCCUAAAUUAAUCUAAUUUUCUCAAUUAGUACUUUACUAGACAUUAUAAGUUGUUACACAACUAUUGAAAUUCAGAAUUUCCACAUAUAACUCUAUCUUCAAACUCUUUUACUAUUAGGUCCCAAACAUUCACUUUCUAUUCAAUUCUUUCAAUAAAAUCAGCAUAUGAACAAUUUAAAGCUCUAAUUUCAUGCAAAAUCAUCAUAUACUUCCAGCACAUAUUCAUAUCAACUUUCAACUUCUUUCAUAAAAUCAAAAACUAAUGAAUUUAACAAGUGGGCCUAGUUGUAAAAGUCAUAAAAAUACAAAAAUUUCAAGAAAUAGUCAAGAAUUGAACUUACUUGUAAUAAAAAUAUGAAGAACCAGCUUGAAGAAGCCCUUCCAU